ACUGAUCGGCCACAUUGGGACUGAGACACGGCCCAAACUCCUACGGGAGGCUGCAGUAGGAAUCUUCCACAAUGGGCGAAAGCCUGAUGGAGCAACGCCGCGUGUGUGAUGAAGGCUUUCGGGUCGUAAAGCACUGUUGUAUGGGAAGAAAAGUUAAGGUAGGGAAUGACCUUAGCCUGACGGUACCAUACCAGAAAGGGACGGCUAAAUACGUGCCAGCAGCCGCGGUAAUACGUAUGUCCCGAGCGUUAUCCGGAUUUAUUGGGCGUAAAGCGAGCGCAGACGGUUGGUUAAGUCUGAUGUGAAAGCCCGGAGCUCAACUCCGGAAAGGCAUUGGAAACUGGUUAACUUGAGUGCAGUAGAGGUAAGUGGAACUCCAUGUGUAGCGGUGGAAUGCGUAGAUAUAUGGAAGAACACCAGCGGCGAAGGCGGCUUACUGGACUGUAACUGACGUUGAGGCUCGAAAGUGUGGGUAGCAAACAGGAUUAGAUACCCUGGUAGUCCACACCGUAAACGAUGAACACUAGGUGUUAGGAGGUUUCCGCCUCUUAGUGCCGAAGCUAACGCAUUAAGUGUUCCGCCUGGGGAGUACGACCGCAAGGUUGAAACUCAAAGGAAUUGACGGGGACCCGCACAAGCGGUGGAGCAUGUGGUUUAAUUCGAAGCAACGCGAAGAACCUUACCAGGUCUUGACAUCCUUUGAAGCUUUUAGAAAUAGAAGUGUUCUCUUCGGAGACAAAGUGACAGGUGGUGCAUGGUCGUCGUCAGCUCGUGUCGUGAGAUGUUGGGUUAAGUCCCGCAACGAGCGCAACCCUUAUUGUUAGUUGCCAGCAUUCAGAUGGGCACUCUAGCGAGACUGCCGGUGACAAACCGGAGGAAGGCGGGGACGACGUCAGAUCAUCAUGCCCCUUAUGACCUGGGCUACACACGUGCUACAAUGGCGUAUACAACGAGUUGCCAACCUGCGAAGGUGAGCUAAUCUCUUAAAGUACGUCUCAGUUCGGACUGCAGUCUGCAACUCGACUGCACGAAGUCGGAAUCGCUAGUAAUCGCGGAUCAGCACGCCGCGGUGAAUACGUUCCCGGGUCUUGUACACACCGCCCGUCACACCAUGGAAGUUUGUAAUGCCCAAAGCCGGUGGCCUAACCGUAAGGAGGGAACC
rnacentral:rRNA from 1 species